rnacentral:rRNA from 1 species
CCUGGUUGAUUCUGCCAGUAUUCAUAUGCUUGUCUCAAAGAUUAAGCCAUGCAUGUCUAAGUAUAAGCAACUUUGUACUGUGAAACUGCGAAUGGCUCAUUAAAUCAGUUAUAGUUUAUUUGAUGGUUUUUGCUACAUGGAUAACUGUGGUAAUUCUAGAGCUAAUACAUGCAUUCAAGCCCCGACUUCUGGAAGGGGUGUAUUUAUUAGAUAAAAAUCAACUUUGUUGGUGAAUCAUAAUAACUUCUCGGACCGCAUGGCCUCGUGCUGGCGGUGCUUCAUUCAAAUAUCUGCCCUAUCAACUGUCGAUGGUAGGAUAGAGGCCUACCAUGGUUGCAACGGGUAACGGGGAAUAAGGGUUCGAUUCCGGAGAGGGAGCCUGAGAAACGGCUACCACAUCCAAGGAAGGCAGCAGGCGCGCAAAUUACCCAAUCCCAACACGGGGAGGUAGUGACAAUAUGUAACAAUAUGCGGCCUUAUACGUCGUAUAAUUGGAAUGAGUACAAUUUAAAUCCCUUAACGAGGAACAAUUGGAGGGCAAGUCUGGUGCCAGCAGCCGCGGUAAUUCCAGCUCCAAUAGCGUAUAUUAAAGUUGUUGCAGUUAAAAAGCUCGUAGUUGGACCUUGGACCUGGACAGGCGGUCCGCCUCACGGCGAGUACUGUCUUGCUGGGUCUUUCCUCUUGGUGAUCUGUUGUUUCGGCAGCAGGGAACCAGGACCUUUACUUUGAAAAAAUUAGAGUGUUCAAAGCAGGCUCGACGCCGGAAUAUAUUAGCAUGGAAUAAUAAAAUAGGACGUGCGGUUCUAUUUUGUUGGUUUUUGAAAUCGCGUAAUGAUUAAUAGGGACAGUCGGGGGCAUUAGUACUCACAUGCUAGAGGUGAAUUUCUGGAUUUUGUGAAGACUAACUCUGCGAA